UAUAUAUAUAUAUAUAUAUAUAUAUAUAUAAUGGGCUUUUGAAAAAUCUGCAUCCUCUACUAAAGAAUGUUGCUGCCUAUCCCCUUAUUUUCUGCCAAGGGACACCGUUCAGAAGAAUUCUCUGUGAUGGGGGAGAGAAAGGUCCACGGUAUCAUUGAAGCAUUAAGAACAUGGAGGCUCAAGACAGGAAGCCAAAGACCAAGGAACUUUGGGUCCUUGUUUUUCUCCCACACAAGAAUCUCCUGAUGAGGCCACAAAUGCCUCCGGCCACACACUUAGCCCUGCCCUGCUUCUGAGCCAAAUGAAGUGGGAUAUGAAGGCUGGAAUGUAGCCAUGGAACCUGGAGGGCACCUCGUAACCAUGAAGUGACUUUAGGACAGAAGCCACACACAAUGGUGGAGCAGAAAGGUAGAAGGGGCCUAUGCUCCUGAUGACUGGAGAGCUGCCCCACCUCUUUAGGCUUCUUUUAUAGCAAAGGAAAUAAAUCUCUAACUUUUUAUUUGGUUGUUCUAUUGUAUGUGACACAGUCUACUCCUGAUUGAUGAACUUAUUUCAAUUAAAUAUUUAAUAUAUAUAGUGGGGCAGACAUAUAUAGUGGUCCCCAAAUAUCUCCAUGCCCCUCCACAUUUCUCAGUUUCCCCUGCAGUUAGGUUGGGACGAUGUCUAAUUUUGAACAAUGGGCUCAGAGCAGAAAUGACAUGUCACUUCUGUACUAAUGCAUUUUGGAGCCAGUAUGCCUUCUCCAAUUCUCUCUUCGAUGCUGUAGUAACCCCAGACGCCACAUGAUAAGAUGGAGGUAUCACAGGAUACAAAGAAGUGGGAUCCUUGAGUCACUGGAUGUAGAAGAGUUCCCAUGAACCCGCCUUUGAGUGAGACUGUGGGGAGAGGUUUUAUGCCACAGCUGGAAGAGUUUUUCAGAGACUGCUGAGUACCGAGUGUUGUGCUAAGCAUUUUCCAUAAAUCAAAUUUCGUCUCCCAUUUACAAGUAUUGCAUCUUUUCCAAGGAUGAGUCAACUGUUGCUCAGAAGGAAAGAGAAUUGGUCAAGGUCACACAUGCAGCAUCUUAACCCAGUUCUUGCCAAUUCUAGCAUUUCAUAUUUCCCCCAGAGUACCAAGCUCGUUCCUCUGUGGAGGCAGGUGGGUUUAUUCUGACAACAUAAGCCUCCAUCGUCUUAUCCAGGGAGUUUCCUGAGACGGGCUCUCCACAGUUCCGUCGCAGCGUGGGCUUCUUGGAAAUUCGGUUCUCCUUCUCAAGGCCUCCCUACCUGCUGAGCUUCAUUCUUCAUUCUGAAAUAGGAGCUGCCCUGUAAACAGCAUCUGGUGCUCACUUCCAGGCCUCCGGCUGGUGGAGCAAGAACAUUUCCAGUGCAUAUGCUUCCUUAUUCUGUAAAAAAAAAAAAAAAAAAAAAAAAAUGUGUUUAUACUUGGUCCCCUCUGAAGCCGGACGACGCCCAUGAUUUCGUCCCAGGUCCCAGCCAAAUUUGUUGGCUGGGCUUUUUCCAGUCCUUUACACCCCAGAAAGGGAGAGCGCUGUGUCUGCCCUCUGGCGCCAUCUACCGGCACUGCUCGAGUCUCCGAAUGAGCCCCAAUUAAUUGGAUGAAUCUUGUCGCUUCAUUAGCCCAUUGGUUUUUUUCUUCACAGACUAGAGGGCGACCAAUUAGUAAAGAGAGUAGACAGCAAAUAUAGCUCACCUUAAAGAGGCCAGAGUCUCCUUUCUCUCGCGUUUCCUACCUCACCCGUUGUGACAUUCCUUCAUCUUCAAUUCUUUCUUCCUUUUGAAAAUGUUUAUUUUGUUCUUAUAUAGAGAUCAGGGCAUGGGGCACACAGCUGCACACCUGAGCAAACACAGGGGCUGACUGAUUUGCUGGUGUAAUGAAAAACAUUAGUUUUGAGCUCAUUACUCUGAUUCCACAAUGGGCACCAAAUCCCACUUAAGACCCACGGAGGAAGUCUUCAAAGGGACACUGCUCCAGGUCUGUGCCUGGGGAGCCAGCCGCCCCUCUGAGCAUUUGCAAAGGAAUAACCCACGUUUGGAGACCCAGGCCUGUCAGAUCAAAACCAGGCCUGGCCUCCAGACCUUGAAACAAGUCGCAACAGUGAACCUUACUCAUCCAUUUUCAAAAUACGGCCUGUUCUCUACAAAAUGGAGCAAAGCCUCUCAGAUUGGCGCUGGCUGUUCUAUUUGAUAUAUUAAGGAGAAUCUUGACUCUUUCCAGGUUUCUGCCAGUCUGUUUUAAAUCCAAAUGGCUUGGCGGAGAAUGGUUUUUAGUUAUUUUUUUGUUUGAAAUGGAAUUCAAAACAGCAGGGGCAUAAAGCCUAGCUAUGGAUGGAAGAGAAAAUUAAAAGGUCCCUGGAGUCCCCCACUCACCUUUCACAUUGAAGGAAAAGGAAUUAGGGUUUCUGGUAAACCGACUGUCUGUUGAAGCACCACUCAGGGAGGGAGGGUGAUAUUGCUGAGCCGUUGAAGUUGUCAAGAUAUCUAAAGAUUUUGAUUUCUUCAGAGGCAGAAUGAUCAAGAGCUCAAUUCUAGAGCAAAACCCUGCUCCUGAUUCUUACAGUCAUGAGGACGUAGCCAUUUUUUGGGAUCUGUCUGAGUCCGACUUCCUGGGAGCAAGCCUGUGAUAGCUAGCUGGUAAGACUGUUGUUAAGGUUGAAAGAACGUAGCACGGGAGGCAUUUACCACUCCUCCUGGCACAUCUUUCUUCUUUUUUUCUUUGAAAACUAUGUAACUUUUUUUUUUAAGUGCAUUUAUUUUUGAGAGUGGGGGGAGGGGCAGAGAGAGAGGGAGACAAAGAAUCUGAAACAGGCUCCAGGCUCCAUGCUGACAGCACAGAGCCCAACGCAGGGCUCAUACCCAUGAACUGCGAGGUCAUUACCUGAGACAAAGUCAGACACUUAACCGACUCAGCCACCCAGGGGCCCCUGGGCGCAUUUUAAGAGCUUCAUAAACAGCUUAAGGUCAAGAUCAGUCUCUUAUAGCCAGGAAUUAGAUCUUCUGCCUGAAGCAUGAAAUGUGUGACUUUUAGAAAACGCCUGGGUUCUCUGCUCACUGUCAUCCAACCUCUCUGCUUGUUUGAGACCUGAGGGUUAAGAUACUGUAUUUGGACAUGUGGUAUUAAACUGCACACCAUCUGGAUCCACCUGCCCCAUGGGCUCCUUCUUUUCCCAUCACCUCCUCUGAUUCCCCUGGAGGGAACCUUACGUUCUAACCACACUGGUCUUCUGGCUACUUCUAACACAGGCUUUUGCCCAAGAGAGGAAUGCUCUCCCCACCCACUCCCAUAUGCCUGACUAAUUUCCUUCAGGUCUCAGUCUAAAGGUCACUUCCUUGGGGAUGCCUUCCCUAAUGACCAGACUGAGUCAGGCAUCUCCCCACCCUUCCACUGAAUGCUCUGGAAGUGCCUUCAUAGUAUCUGCAGUAAUAUUGCUUGCACAUCUUUCAGCACUUUGCAAAGUGCUGGGCUUCAUAAGCAAUUGUGAUCAUCUUUCUAAUGAUCUGUUAUAUGUCUUUUCCUUACCUGACAAUAAGUAGGCAGGAACUCUGUCCAUUUUGUCCAUGAACAGUUGAUGCGUGGCUAAUGGGCCCUGGAGUCCUGCUUGCCUUAGUCCUUGAUGUCCCCUCUCUCUGAAACACUAUCCCCCAUUUUUCUGUCAACCCCCCACUCAUCUCUUUUAAGAUACAAUUCCAAGUCGGCUUCUCAGUGAAGCCAUUGCUCAACUCCCUUAGGUGGGGUACUUGUUCCCAAGGUACAUUGUUUUUAUGUCUGUCACAGCAAUUAAUAUAUUGAAUGCCAUUAGCUUUUGAUAGUAGGAUUGAUGCCUUACAUAGCUUCUCACUUCCAGUGCUUAGUGGGUGCCUGGCACCGAGGAGGCAUUCGAUAAACAUUGAGUGAGGAUGAAUACAGUAACAUUACCUUCUGAGAGAGUGAUGAUCAUUCAGUGCCAUGUUAGUAUCUUAAGGCAGAAAGAUUUUGGCCAUAUACACCAAGAAUUGGUCAGAAUGUUACCUCCUAGAAAUGUCUUAAGCCACACAGUAGACUCAUCAACCUUUCUUGGUAUCUCACACUUGCAACACUGGAUAUAUCAUUCACUUCUUAUGCUUAUAACCAGUUCUAGAAAUUUUCAGAGAUCUUUCAUGUAAAGAUCUUUGAUUUGUUGUGAGGAGAGAAAAAAUAUUUCAUGGUGUGUUGGGUUCUUCUCAGAAUUCAGUCACGGAGACAGUCUAUUGAUUUUUUUUUUCUUACUUUUACUACUUCAACAAUUGAAUUGUGGAAAUACUACUGUAGAUACUGAUACAGUUCAAUGAGUAGGAGAGUAGAGAAAAACACAGACCUGAAGAGAUGGGCUUCCCGACAUUUCAUAGUCUUGCCCCGAGUAUCUUUGAUUCUAUUCUAAUUGGCCUAGAUGAGUUAAUAUUACAACAGCAACCAAUAUUAAUAAGUAGCUAUUUUUUACAGAGUAUUUUUACAUAUUAUAUUGUUAAAUAUAUUCCUCCUGAACAUUUUCCACCCAGAGAAGUAUGCUUUGAUAACUUGUACCUGGAGCCCCCAACUUGUUGUAAGAGAUUCAAGAAUGGAUCAUGAAUCUUGACCCAGCUUUUGAAGGGGACUAGAUGCCCCUCUACCCUGGCCUGUAAAAUGUGUUGAGCGUAACAAGAGUAAUCACAAAAUAGAUGGACCAGAGUCCAUCUGGACUCUGUUUGACCUCUAGCAUCUACGGUUUUGUAAGUCCUGACAUUGCUUUGAUGAUCUCUUCCUCCCUCUCUUUCUUCUCCGACUCUGUGGUUUGAUGGGACUCCAAAACCCUAGUAUUGAAGGUUGACCUACACCUAAGCCACUCAGUAUGUCCUUUCCCAUCCCUCAGCCAUAGUGAUUGGUUCAGGGAGGGAUAUGAGACCCAAUCAGACCAAUGAGACACCAUCCGGGGAGGAGGCAAGUAAGUGCCAUCUCCAUCUUACUUUUCCUUAUGGACAGAGAGUGGGGUCUGCUGGGCACUAUCACAUGGAGCCUGAACAUGAAGCUAACACUUCCCAUAGCAAGCUGAGUGAGGGAGGGAAAUCAAAGCCUGCUGAUACCAUGUGAGCCCUGUAUAUAGCCAGGUUUAGAGCUACUUCUGCUGAUGGCUUUUCAUUGAUUUAUUCCAAUAAAAUUGCUUUUUACUUAAACUGAUUUUUUUUGUUACUUGCAACCAUAAAAUUCUAACUGAUGCACGUCUGAUUUGCCAGCACUAAGCUAAGCCCUUUUACAUAUAUCAGCUUCUUUAAUCAUUGCAACAACCCAAUGUGGGUAGAUAUUACCCUCUCUACUUCAUAGGUAAUGAAAUUGAGGCUUAGGGAAAUUAACUAUCUUCCCAUUCACAGCUAGAAAUGUUCAAGUUGGGAUUAGGGUU